CAGACAUCUGAGUUGAGGAGUAAUGGAGUCCCUGAUCCAGCAUGUUUGCUAUUCCAGAUUGGUCCAAGUCUUUAGUUUGUUUUUACCAAGAGACCCCUUGGGAACCGAUGCUAUCAUUUGAUAUGGCCGACUACUCUCAACCACAGAUUGAUGUACAAGUUUGGCUAAUGAUUGGAUUUCCAAAUAAAAAUAUCCGAUGACAAAUUUGUUUGGGGUAUUCCUGGGGUAGCUCUAGCACCCCUCGGUAACGCCGCCUCCUCCCCUGCAUUAGUUGUCCUGUUGGCUCCAGCAAGUCUCAGCAUAUUCGAUUUCUGAGGGAAUUGCAAUUUCCAGGUGCUUUUUAUUGGCUCACGUAAUCCGUCUAGCCAUCCUCACCGUUGAGAAGGUGUCUGUCCUCUGGGGAAAAUCUUGAACGCGACCGCCAACUUUUAUAGAGCUGGUGUGAGCGUAGAGAGGAAAAACUGAGAUGACUUUGAAAACUUGCACGGAACUUGCACCACGGCUCCCGUUCUGUUGUUCGAGCAGAGCCACCGACAAAUCACAUCCACCUGGUCACUUGGCCUUUUUGCUGGCCUGCUUUCCAAGCCUGUUUGGAACAGACGGCGGAGCCGCCGAGAGGCAUCGGCCAAUCGCGGCGUGGGGUGGAGACGUACGUACGUCUACCCGGCGACAGAUUUCCGCUGCUUCCUCCCCAAACAGUUACUGCAAAGUGUACACAGGCAGACUAACUGGGUACAUCCUGGUCCAAAGACUUUAGUCACUUAUUGCAGGCAAAGGCACACAAAUGAAGAUGUGAAAGCAAGAAACAAGCGUCACUCUGUCCACCCUCACACCGGCGGCUCACGUCCUCUUUUCCAGAGUUACAACGGCACGCUGGCCUUUUUGGCAGACUCCGCUGGAGGCUUUCUCAUACCAUAGUUGCCCUCUGAAUAGAUUCUCUCAUUAAAAGGCCUUGUCAUGCAGA